rnacentral:rRNA from 1 species
AGCGAACGCUGGCGGAAUGCUUAACACAUGCAAGUCGCACGGGGGCUUCGGCUCGAGUGGCGGACGGGUGAGUAACGCGUAGGAACGUGUCUUGGGGUGGGGGAUAACGCUGGGAAACUGGCGCUAAUACCGCAUAUGGGCUGAGGCCCAAAGCCUUCGGGUGCCUUGAGAGCGGCCUGCGUCCGAUUAGCUAGUUGGUGGGGUAACUGCUUACCAAGGCGACGAUCGGUAGCUGGUCUGAGAGGACGAUCAGCCACACUGGGACUGAGACACGGCCCAGACUCCUACGGGAGGCAGCAGUGGGGAAUAUUGGACAAUGGGCGGAAGCCUGAUCCAGCAAUUCCGCGUGGGUGAAGAAGGUCUUCGGAUUGUAAAGCCCUUUCGACAGGGACGAUGAUGACGGUACCUGUAGAAGAAGCCCCGGCUAACUUCGUGCCAGCCGCCGCCGUAAAAC